GACGAACGCUGGCGGCGUGCUUAACACAUGCAAGUCGACCGGACAGGCCCGGCUCUUGUGGCGUGCUCGUGUGUCGCACGGGUGAGUAUCACGUGUGUAACCUGCCCUUGUCUUUGGGAUAACUCUAGGAAACUGGGGCUCUUACCGGAUAUGAUCUUUUGCUGCAUGGUGGGCGUUGGUAAGUUUCGGUGGUUGGGGCUGGAAUGGCGGCUUAUCAGCUUGUUGGUGGGGUAGUGGCUUACCAAGGCUGUGACGGCUAGCCGGCCUGAGAGGAGGACCAGCCACAAGAGGACUAAGGUACGGCGCAGACGACUACGGGAGGCAGCAGUGGGGAGUAUUGCACAGCGGUGGGCAGCAGGAUGAAGCAGCGCCGCGGGCGGGAUGACGGCCUUCUGGGGAUAAACAGCUUUCGCCGGCAACGAAGAGGGAGUGACGGUAAUUGGUAAAGAAGCACCGGCUAACUACGUG
rnacentral:rRNA from 1 species